ACGCGGUUUUCCUUUUUUCUCUCUCUCCUCAAAUCGCUCUGCUUUGGGAAAAACUUUCAUGGACCUGGAAGGAGUGGUUGGAAGGUUUGCCGGCAUGGUUGUGGCGUCUCUGAUCAGGGAAGAUAACUUCCCAUUAUAUGAUGUUAUGAUUCAUGAUUAUAAAGAAGAUCUCAAAAACUACCCAGCGAAUACUCAAACGGAUGUUAUUAAUGAUUGCAUCCUGAAGUUGUGCCGGGCUCUUGUUCACUCAACAGGCAAAGAAAAUGUCAAGGAAGGAAUACAAAAGCUUGAAGACGGUUAUAGGGGCGUACUGGGUGUACUUAGCCCACUUCAAAAGAGGGAGAUGCUUUAUCUUCUCGCAGUUGCAUAUUACAGAGAUGGUGACUAUUCAAGGAGCUUAUCUUACUUGAAUCAGUGUUUGGAGGUUGCGCCACACUUCAACCAAGCUUUGACCCUGAAGAAAAAAUUCGGAUCGGUUCUCUGGUUUCUCAUUGGCGGACCUCACCAAUAUUAUCUUGAUAUGAUUCUUGAUUGUGAGAGAGAUAUUGCGGAAGCCGGAGAUGAUGCUCCAGGUGAGGUUAAGAAUGAAAACAUCAUCAAGUUGUCCUGGGCUCUUGUUCACACAAGACAACCAGAAGAUGUCCUGCGAGGAAUAGAUUUGCUCGAAGCCCCUCUUGAGAAAAGUGGACUGAGCCAACUUGAGAAAGGUGGACUGAACGAACUUCAGUUCAGGGAUAUGCUUUAUAUUCGCUCACUUGGACAUUACAUAAGUGGUGACUUUAUCAAGAGCUUGAACGACGUGUUGCAAUGUUUGGAGGUUGCACCAGACUUCUGGCAAGGUAGAUACCUGAGCCGCACAGUAUCAACUCGAAUGAAAAAAAACAAAUUUCUCGGCGCACUCAUUUUUCAUACUGCUGGUGCACUUGUGUCGGUUAUUAUUAAUACAAAAUCACGACGUAAGACAUGAUAUGGCUCAGACCCAUGCAGCGGCAUGUAAGAAUGAUACAGCUCAAUACUACUUUAUGUGGCAUAUGGUCUUAUUGUCUCAAUUGAAGUUUUCGAAAAGGCUCUGCAAACUUGGCAACGUUGUUGGAAGUAUUACUUGGGUGUAUAUCCUAUAACACAAUGUUAAUUUUGGUAUCCUGAUGGAAAUUUCAAUUUGUGUUGUGUAAGAUUAGGUGCAAUAAAGAUUUUUUUUCUUCCAUUUCUUCGAAUGCGUUUUAUAAUGGACUGUGAGAGAGUUAAGUGCAACUGACCUGUAAAAGGCUAUAAUCAUGAGGAAGAGGAGGGUUUGAGAGAAGAGAAAACUGUCCGCCACUAUUCUCAUCAGUUUCUGUUUUUAAUCCAAAAUCUUCGAUA